CCUACGGGUGGCAGCAGUGGGGGAUAUUGCACAAUGGGGGAAACCCUGAUGCAGCGACGCCGCGUGGGUGAAGCAGCGUCUCGGCGCGUAAAGCCCUGUCAGCAGGGAAGAAAAUGACGGUACCUGACGAAGAAGCCCCGGCUAACUACGUGCCAGCAGCCGCGGUAAUACGUAGGGGGCAAGCGUUAUCCGGAUUUACUGGGUGUAAAGGGGGCGCAGACGGCGACGUAAGCCUGGAGUGAAAGCCCGGGGCUCAACCCCGGGACUGCUCUUGAAACUGCGUGGCUAGAGUGCAGGAGGGGCAAGCGGAAUUCCUGGUGUAGCGGUGAAAUGCGUAGAUAUCACGCAGAACCCCGAUGGCGAAGGCAGCCUUCCGGCGCCCUACUGACGUUGAGGCACGAAAGUGUGGGGAUCGAACAGGAUUAGAUACCCGAGUAGUC
rnacentral:rRNA from 1 species